rnacentral:lncRNA from 1 species
CUCUGAGCAUUUCUUUAGGUGUUUCUCAGCCAUUCGAGAUUUCUUCAGUUGUGAAUUCUGUUUAGUUCUAGUGCCCAUUUUCUUUUAUUGGGUUGUUUGGUUUUUUGGUGAUUAACUUCUUCAGUGCUUUAUAUAUUUGGGAUAUUAGCCCUCAAUCAGAUGAGGGGUUAGUGAAGAUUUUUUAUCCAAUUAGUAGGUUGCAAAUUUGUCCUUGGCCUUACUAGGAGGCCUGCAAUUUGAUAACCCCUUUGGCUUACACAAUUCCUUAUUUUAUCAAAAUAUGAAAUAAAAUACCAUCUCAAAGACUUGUGGUAAAGCUUUUGCUCAUAAUACUUUCCUUAAAUGUGGGGUGUGGAGGAUAUUUGGACUCAGUGCCCAGCACUGUCCCUUUAUCCUAGUAUAUCCCUCUAAGUCUUCUUAGCUUUCUUACUGGUUAGAAUGAGGAAACCAGAGAGAUGAGAAAUCAUUGUCUAAGAUGAGACAAGCAGUAACUUUAAAACUGAGUUUUUACAUGAUCAACUUAAAUCCAUAUAAUCUUAUGCCUCACAGUGAUUUUAUUUUUUCUAAAGGUGUUUUAAUUUUUUUCCCAUUCUUUAUCAUUCAUUUUUAUUUUUGUUUAUUUAAUUUUAAUUUUAGCCAACAUUUUAUCAAUAAUUAUUUUAUUUAUUUACAUUUCACAA